rnacentral:rRNA from 1 species
UACGGAGGAGGCAAGCGUUAUCCGGAAUUAUUGGGCGUAAAGCGUCCGUAGGUGGCUCUCUCAAGUCUGCGGUCAAAGACCGGGGCUCAACCCUGGAAAGGCCGUGGAAACUGGUGAGCUAGAGUGCGGUAGGGGCAGAGGGAAUUCCCAGUGUAGCGGUGAAAUGCGUAGAUAUCAAGAGGAACACCUGAGGUGAAGACGGGUUGCUGGGCUGACACUGACGCUGAGGCGCGAAAGCUAGGGUAGCAAACGGG